CAAAUCCAGAGUCGAGCACAUGGUUAGAAUGUGCUCGACCACUGAACUCCAGCCUGUGAACUUUAUUUUUAAGUGGAUGCCUUCCAUGCAAGGGAAUGCUAAUGCCACCAUUAUCUACCUCAGAGAGCUGAAGAGAUGUGAUAACUGGAUUAUCGUGGAAAUGUUCAAUUUACAAUUUGUGUUCUUUUUCUCACACAGGUCCCACAAUAACAAAACUGUUCUUCCCGGCCACACUCUUACAGUUCAAAACAGCAGAUGUAUGGAGGUUUUCUCCCUGUAUACCAAGUGCAUUCCAGCAGGCAGCAACCUGGUCAUGCUCUAAUUUAAUCCAGUCCUGACACUGCCCGCCUAGUGAUAGCACUUCAUGCCACAUGCUGAGUAUUCAGGCCCACAAGACUCCUCCGUUUCAGAUGCCAACCAGGAGCCACACCCAUCAGUCAGCCGUGACCCCUGCCACAGGCUUAGUUAAUUUACCAAAGUGGUUCUUGGAACUCAUCAAAGCUCUGUGCUUAUAACUGCCUAAUUGUGGAAAACAGGCGUAGGACAAGAUAAACAGGUUGGGGGGGGCACAUCUCUUCCCUGAACUUAAAUUACUCUGCAGUCCAAGAGCUCAUGUAAACUCUUCCCACAGUCCACAUCCCACCUUUAUUGUGUGUGUGUGUGUGUGUGUGUGUGUGCUCGAUUUAUGUGCACAGGUAUUUUGUCUACAUGUAUGACUGAGCACCAGGUGCAUACCUAGUGCCAGAAGAGGUCAUGCCAGAAAAGGUCAUCGGCUCUUCUGAGAUUGGAGUCACAGACACUUGUGAGUCGUGAUAUAGGUGCUAAGAAUUGUUGAGCGGUCCCUAGAGGCCCAGUUUUCCCUUUUUUGUGGGGGCUUCCUUGUGUGGGAUAAUUAAUUAAAUUACUGCCGUUAGAGACCAAUUCCUCUUCCAGGACGCUGGAAGGAUGUGCCAACAACCUCUUGCUCCUGCCCUGGUCUUCCCAGUGGAAAGCUGGAUCCCACUGCAGCGGUCUCUUCACAUACAAAACAAAACUAAAAAAACAAAAAACAAAAAACAAAAAACAAAACAAAACAAACAAACAAACAAAAAACACUCUGAAGACUACUAACCAGUUUAAGACCUCUCCUAGCUAUCUUGAAUUGUCAACUUGACACAAGAUAAAGUCUGAAAAGAAAGCCUCCAUUGAAGAAUUGCCUACAUCAGAUUGGCCUGUGGAGGUGUCUGUGGGGAUUGAUUGGAUUACUAACUGACACAGGCGCGUCCAGCCCACUGUGGGUGGUGCCAUCCCUAGGCAGCUGGGCCUGGGCUACAUAAGAAAGCCAGCUGAGCAUGCGCUAGGGAGCACGACAGAGAGUGAGCCAAUAAGCAGCAUUCCUCCGUGGUCUUUGCUUCAGGUUCCUGCCCUUACCUUUCUCUAUGACUGGACGUGAACUGAAAGUGUGAACCAUAGUUAAUCCAGCUGGGCCUGUCAAUCAUCUAGCCAGGAUUCCAGUGCCCAGGAAAGCUGCCUCACCAGAAGGCAUGCUGGGAGAGGGAGUACUACCUGGCCCCUUAAUGAGAUAUGACAUACAGCACCGUAUACAUUUCACUUCUACUACAAAAUGUUUAGCUUCUGAACACUGGAUUCAAUCAUUACAAAAAAGAAAAUCUGAGGGGACUUGGAGAAUGAAACCGGAAACACGAGGUGACACAAUUGGGCAGGUAAGAAAUGGAGGCAUGAAGAAAUCAAAAGCUUUGCUUCCCAGAGAGUUAGAGGCAGGCACCCUGCUUGUAGAGCUCUUCUGGUCACAGGAGCUAAACUACAAAUAGAGAACUUCUCUGUGUGGUCACUUAUCUCCACGGUGAUACUGCUGCCACAAAGGAAGUACACAACACACCAACGGUAGCCUGGAGUCCUGUCACUGCUUGGUGACGCCCUUGGUCAGAUAGAAUGUCCAGCUCUUGGGUGGCUAGGCAUCAUGCCGCUGACCUGAGAAGUUCUCAGUAAAUGGAAGAAAUGGAUAUAGUUUUUAUGUGUCCUUCCUUGUUUAUAGAUAAAAACGUUCUGAAGCAGGCAUGGUGCUACGGUUGCUGGAGGUUUUUGGCUCUGAGCCCUGGGCUCAGUCAGCUGCUCACAUACACCACCUAAAUACCUGGGCUUGUAACACUAAAAUAAAAGGGAGGGGUUUCAGUAUGGGCACAUACUGAAGUGGGCUACACUCCACUUCCUCUUAGUCCAGAAAAGGGCUUUCUGCACAAGCCCUGCAGGGCCAGUGCUAACAGAGUCCCCUGUCGAUCUCUGCAAGUUUUAGGCAGACAGUUCUGCUCUGAGGGCCUCAUGGCUGGCUGACAGCACUGCUUCUGUGUGAGUCUGCUAUACGCACCAAGAGGACUGUCUGUGAGCCUGCUAUGUGCAGCAAGGAGACCCUGUCCCAUCUUGAACCCAAGCAAGUGUCUUGCCAGCCCAGCCUUCUCCCAAUCUGCAGGCUGACCACAUGCCUCUUUCAAACUGCCUAAUCAUGGCAUGCAGAAGGAUUUGACAAUAUCAUCUUUACCAUUUGUCUCAGUAUUUGUUCAAUUGGUCCAUACUACUUGGCCAUCGUUACUUUGGUAUUCCAUUGUCAAGGAGGGCAGGAAACUCCAGAAGACUGACAUUCACCCCAGAACUCACUCUGGAGGAGAGUCCGUUUGCUGAUCUCAGUAAUCAGUUGUGUAUCUGGCUCCACCAGUACUCCGGUGGGGUACAUGUAUACUGUAAUCCCCCAGCUCACAAGGCAGGAGUGAUUUCUACAUUCAUAAAUGGCUGAGAGAAAAUCAAAACAACAAUAACCUGGGGCACACACAAAAAAGAAAGAGUUGGAGAGAUUGCUCAGCAGUUAGAGCACUGUCUACUCUUGCAGAGGACCAGGUUCAGUUCCCAGCACCACACAGGGCUCCCGGGUGCCUCUUAGGAAGUCUCAUGUCCUCUUCUGGCUUCUGUGGACACUGUAUGUACAUGGUACACAGAUGUACAUGCAGGCAAGCACUCAAGCAUAUGAGAUUAAAUAACUAAAUCUUUUUUUUAAGUAAAGUUCAAAUCUCUGUGUCCACAAAUGAGGGUCUGCCGGAACACAGUCAUGUAUGUUCCUUGACAGCUGUUGCUCUCCCCCAGCAGAACUAAACAGUUCCUGCAGAGACUGGAGACCCACAAAACUGAAGAAUUGGUGAUUUUGCCUUCUGCAGCAAAAGGUUACUAACCAGCUUCUGGCCCAGGUUAAGCCCUCCCCAUCCUGGUGGCUGUGUGGCCUGAAGGUCAAUGAGACAGUCCACUUGGGGCUUUGGUAAACUGCCUAAUAGCACAUGCUGGAGGAAAUAAUGGCUGCCUGGAAUCCUGCUGAGAUAAUAGGUGAUAGCCUCUACAAAAAAAGAGGACCUGGGAUUCAUUUCAUCAUAUGACAAAGAAAACCUGGACUGUGUGCUGGAGUCUACCUAUCCCUAUAAUUUGGGUUUGAAUGCACCUGCAAAGACCCAUGUGUUGAAGAGUCCCCAGGCAGUGUCACCAAGAAGUCACUGGAGGUAUGCCCCAGGGGGGGCUGCGGCUCCCAGUCUCUUCUGGCCAUGGUGUGAGGAGUUGGCCACUCCAGGAUCUCCACCUUUGCCUCCAGCAACCUCACCAAAGGCUUGCCAGAAGUGGAUCUUCUAGAUUAUGGAGUGGAGCCUUUGAAACCAUGAACUGGAACCAUGCUGCAGUUUACUGAAGGAAGAAGAAGGCUGUCUUGAAUGUAGCUGGACAUUAUCUAAUCCCUUGAAGGAACAAGGAGUAUGAAAGAGGCGGAGAAAGGAGCUGUCGCCAACUUGCUCAAACUGUGGAAAUGAUCUGAGGGAACUCAGGGGAAGGAAGAGACACGGCAUCGACAGGCGACAGCAGCUGAUCUUGCCUGUGUGUGGGGAACAUGCGGACUACAUGCAUGGGCGUGGACACAUGAUGAAGGACAGUUCCAAGUGUCCUGAGGUUUCUUUUCCAGAGCUCAGAGCUCUGGACAUAGCAUGUCCUGGAAGUAUUGGUGAACUGUCUCUCCACCUCUGUUCCUUGGGGCCAGCAUCCCAAAGUGGGUAGGAGCUCCUGCCCAGCCCAUCAUCAAGUGCGUGAAUACCAUCAAUGCAGAGAGACAAAUUGGAAGCACCUGUCAGCCAAGCCAGCUCUAAGCAGACACACAGGUUGUGGCUUCACACUGGCACAGUAGUUCGGGUACAGAACUCUUUACGGAAAUUUGCACUAACACUCGCUAUCAAGAACAAAAGAAUGUCUUUAGCUGGGAAGGAUUCACUGAAGUGAAAUUCGGCAGAGACUUGGCUGGACUAUGAGGGGGAAAAAGCCUGGGACUGAGCUCCUGGUACAAUCUUGUCCUGGACUACUUAGUUCCCCAACUGGUUUCUUCAUGUUGAAGUCCUGUGUUAAAGAAUGCUGUCCUCCCAAGAUAACAGCCACCACCUUCCUCAGAACAGCUGGGACUACUUGUAAGUGACCCUAAAGAUCAGGCUUAUUGGCCUUCCUUCAUGGUCACUGGACCCUCACCUGAGAGACUGGCCGCUCUGUCCGACACCUCCAAGCCAGUUUAUGUGACCUUCCCUGACUGCAUGUGGCAUCAUGAUCUGGAGAGGCAUUGCAAUACACAAACUGAGGGUGGACUCCAUGCCUGCGGCUAUGGAGAAGUUGUUACCAGUGCUGGAAGGAGAUGGCUGCUUCGGGGUCCCCUGCUCCUGUAAGUUACCUCUCAACCAUGCUCUGUAAAUAAGCCAAAGAAACCCAUCAGCUCCCCACACUGGACCACCACUAGGGUGGAUUGGUACUUUGGGUUUGUCUUUGGUGUGCCAUAAAGGAGUAGAUGCUUGUCCACAUCUGCCAGGAAAAGAGUUCUGUAAACACCCUGCCGUGUGGAAAAUGUACUCUCAGUACCCAGUUGCCUUAGCCGGUUUUAGAAAAAUUAACAAACAAACUUGUGAAAUCAAAAUUAAAAUUCCCAGAAUUCAAAUUUUCUCUCAAUUUUUUCAUUGAACAAAUGAAAAGAAUAAAGAUAAUUUUUUAAAAGUC